AUUCUAAGCAAGAGAUAUGUUGGUCUUACAUGGCAGCAGCAUCUAGUUUAUAGUGCAAAACCUGAGAAAGGUUUAAGCCCUACUCUCAAAGAACAAAUAUUGUUUAUGGUGUGCUAACAAAAAUGCAGCUGCUCAAAGUGCAACUAUAUAGUGCAGGAAACACACAAUGAUGCAAGUACCUUUAAUGAAUUGGCUUUUUCAUGCAACUGAUUUAUCUGAAAAUAAUUUUCAGUAAUAUGAAUAUUUUACAUAUGCCUUUAGUUAUGUAUAGUUAUUUUGUAAUGGGGAAGCAAAGUGCAACAAAUGUUUUACACCUAGUUCUGCCUGCUGUAUGCAUCAAGGCUUAUUGUAAUCAACUAUAGCAUGAAAAGUAGAAUUGUUAAACCAAAGCUGUAAUGUAUCUCUUUAGAUGAAUACCUGCCUUGACACUUCUAGAUGCUGUGGCUGCUGAUACAGUUCUGAAGAUUAUUCUUUAUUGCUAUAGCUCUGAAAUAUUCUGCAGGAUUUUGGAGAGAUUAUACAUAAUUCAUACCAGCCCUUGCCCCAGUAGAGUCUACAUUCUAAGGUCCCUAUCAAAUUCACAUAUGCAUACUAUAGUCAGUUCUAUAGAGGAGCUAACUAGCCUACCUGUAUGUUUUUGAAAUGUGGUUUAAAAUGGAGCACCCAGAGGAAACCCACAUAAACACGAUGGGAACAUUCACAUACCCUUGCAAAUAGUGUCCUGACUGGUACUGAUCCCAGGACCCUAUUGUGCAACUGUGCUGCCUUUAAAUGAUCAUUUGCUUCUUUCAGAUAGAUAUCGAUCCUCAUUCUACUCACAGAUAAAUAGCAAUAUUAAAGUGUGCCUUUAGUUUCCAUGCACCCCACACAUUUAUCCAGUUUUAUACUUUUUUUUAACUUUUAUUUUAUACACAUUUAUGUAUCUGGCGAGGUGGAAUCUUUAAGUGGGAAAAGCUUGGAAUAGUAAAAUGAUGUUACCUGUUAGGUAAAGGGAAAAAAACAAUAAUUUGCUAAAUGGCUUACAAUUAAUUUCAACUGUACCACACAUAGAGAAGUCUCCUGCAGUAGUUCAUGAGGAGUCUAUUUCAAUGAGACCUUCUGAAGCUAUAGCGCAGAUUUAGCUUUCUCCUUGUCCAAACAAUAAUAAGGGUGCCAUAUUGGACUUAAGUUAUUGUUAUUAUAUACAAGCUCCUUUUUUCUGCUCCACAUGCUUUCUUUAAUACUUUCAUACAGCUACAUUCUGGCCAGUGUUUUUUUCCCAUUUAUAAUAAUGAAGAGAGAAUAAAGUUUACUACGUGUAACUGUCUGCUUUGCCAAUGUUUAGGUACCAGUAAUUGCUGUGCUUGGAUCUAGAGGAGGCUUCAACACAAUGAUUGGAUUCUCAAGUGUCAUGAAAGUGUUAUAUGAAUCAGGAGUUAUAGACUGUGUCACAUAUAUUGCUGGCUUGUCUGGAUCUACAUGGUACAUGUCUACACUUUAUUCGCAUUCUGACUUUCCAAAUAAAGUGGCAAAAGAAAUAAACAAAGAAAUGAUGCAUAAUGUCAGUUACAACCUGCUCCUGCUCACUCCUUAAAAACUGAAAGGUUACAUUGAAGACGUGUGGAAAAAGAAAAGCUCUGGGCAGCCUGUAACAUUUACUGAUAUUUUUGCCAUGCUUAUCGGAGAGACUCUCAUCAAAGAUUUUAAUCAGAAAAUCUCAAGCCAAAGCACAUACUCGGCAAUGACAGUUCUUACAGUGAGAAUGAGAUGCAGGAACCAAAAGGUACUGAAAAUGCGGACGAGCAUCAGAGAAAUAAUCAAGAAAGCUGGGUGCAGCAUAUGCUGAUGGCAGUAUUGGGUGACUCGAUUAAAUACCCUUGAAGGAAGAGCUGGGAAAGUGCACAACUUCAUGCUUGGAUUAAAUCUUAAUACAUCGUACCCCUAUUCACCUCUGUCGGGUUUAUGUACUCAGCAGUCUAUGGAGGAGGAUAAUCCUUGAUGCUGCUGUUGCCGAUAAUGUGUGAUUGUAUGUACACAGAAUCAGACUUUUGAGCUUGCAAAAAAAACAAAAAAACAUAAACCUUUCUUCAUAAUAAGUAAAAUUUAAAAAAAUGACCUGGGCCCAGGAGUGUAGGGGGCCCAGUGAGACCCUAAUUAA